rnacentral:rRNA from 1 species
CUACGGGAUGCACCAGUGGGGAAUCUUGCGCAAUGGGCGAAAGCCUGACGCAGCAACGCCGCGUGCGGGAUGAAGGCCUUCGGGCUGUAAACCGCUUUCAGCAGGAACGAAAAUGACGGUACCUGCAGAAGAAGGAGCGGCCAACUACGUGCCAGCAGCCGCGGUGACACGUAGGCUCCAAGCGUUGUCCGGAUUUAUUGGGCGUAAAGAGCUCGUAGGCGGUUGAGUAAGUCGGGUGUGAAAACUCUGGGCUUAACCCGGGGACGCCAUCCGAUACUGCUCUGACUUGAGUUCAGGAGGGGAGUGGGGAAUUCCUAGUGUAGCGGUGAAAUGCGCAGAUAUUAGGAGGAACACCGGUGGCGAAGGCGCCACUCUGGACUGAAACUGACGCUGAGGAGCGAAAGCAUGGGUAGCAAACAGGAUUAGAUACCCUCGUAGUC